rnacentral:rRNA from 1 species
UACGUAGGGUGCAAGCGUUAAUCGGAAUUACUGGGCGUAAAGAGUGCGCAGGCGGUUUUGUAAGUCUGUCGUGAAAUCCCCGAGCUCAACCUGGGAAUUGCGAUGAAGACUGCAAGGCUGGAGUCUGGCAGAGUGGGGUAGAAUUCCACGUGUAGCAGUGAAAUGCGUAGAGAUGUGGAGGAACACCGAUGGCGAAGGCAGCCCCCUGGGUCAAGACUGACGCUCAUGCACGAAAGCGUGGGGAGCAAACAGG